CCCACAAAGAGCGGAACACUGAGCUCGCAGGCCGGAAGCAGAUUGCGCGCAUGCGCUAGGGAAGACUGCGGUGCUAGCCGCUGAGUGAAGACCGAAAGGGCCAAUGGAAACGUUAGACGACGCUCGGGCUUCUGGGUAGAGCGUUGGUGUCCGCUUUCGUGAAAUCGGGUUGCCUACCCCAGAGCUUUGCCGAGAUGGUCUUCGUUACAGGUGUCUGGGAGGCGGCUUAAGCUCACUUCACUAGGUCAUUAAGCAUGUACUUUGGUGGUUGCAUAUAUCUUGGAAGUCACCGGCGUUACAUUCUGUUUUCCUGGCCUUCGAACUGGAGCAUCAGUACUGCCGCCGUUGGAAUAGCAACGUAGAGACUUCGCUAUUUUGUGAAGAAACUCCAACUAUCCCCAUGGACACAGAAUUUUGGGUGCUCUGGUGCAAAUGUCUGAGUUCUGGAGGCUGGGAAGUCAAAGACAAGGCACUGGCAGAUUCCAUGACUGGAAAGGAGAGAAGGUCUCUGAGGAAGUGACAUUCCAGUUGAGACGUGAAGGAUAAGUAAAAACCAAGCAGAAGAAUUGGAAGAGGAAAGGGAAGAGGGAAAAGCCUGUGCCAAUGCCCUGAGAUUGGAAUAUGCUUUUUGUGUUUAAGAAACUAACAGAAGGUCAGUAUUAUCUUUACCAUACUUUUGGCUUUUUUUUUUUUUUUUUUUUUUUUGAGAUGGAGUCUCACCCUGUUGCCCAGGCUGGAGUGCAGUGGCGUGAUCUCGGCUCACUACAACCUCUGCCUCCUGGGUUCAAGUGAUUCUCCUGCUUCAGCCUCCUGAGUGGCUGGGAUUACAGGCACAAUGCUGCCAUGCCCGGCUAAUUUUUGUGUUUUUAGUAGAGACGGGGUUUCUCCAUGUUGGCCAGGAUGUUCUCGAUCUCCUGACCUCAUGAUCCACCCACCUCAGCCUCCCAAAGUAUUGGGAUUACAGGCGUGAGCCACUGUGCCCAGCCCAAAUACUGUAUCUUAAGAUUGACUAUACCAUACCUUUGGAAACUGUGUGCUGCCAGCUUAUCUAAACAUUCAUCUACUCUUUUCUAUUUCUACCAUCAAAAGGAAUUUUUAUUACUUUUAUUGGAUCAUUGCGAAAAUGUCCUAAUUAAACUCCAUCCCUCCAGUCUCUCCCUAAAUUGUAACUAUAUUAAACCAGCCAAGAAAAAUCUCUUAUACUUUGACUGGUUUGAGGACUAUAUCUGAGUUAUAUUAAAUCUGAGAAUUUAGUUUAUCUAAAUGAAUUAUAGAGCUUUCAAACUU